rnacentral:lncRNA from 1 species
AAAUAUUCAGUAUACUUUAGGUAUUGUUUUUAAUCAUCACCUUGCUCAGGAAACUAUGCCAAAGUGUUAUAAUAACAUUACCAAAGUGUUGUAAUUUCCUAAGAUAGAUGUUUAUGUAAUGUAGGUGCUAUCACUUUUUAAAAUUUUCCAACAAGCUUGAACUAUAAUCUUUUGUUCUUAUCUACUUUCUUAUUUUCAACAGCCUGGAAAAAGAUUCAUGAAAUGAUAAGGCCUUUUUACAUAUUUGUCCACAUGCUUAAAUGCCUGUUUUCUGGCUCCAUAAUCCAUUUACUGAAGGAAGUGAAGGUGACCAGAGAGCGUGGAUUUUUUCCCUGCACACCACUUCCCUCCUGGAUUCACAGCUUAACCUCUUCAGUGAGCUUGGGCUUUCACUAAAGGCAAGACAAGAGGUAAUCAUUAAGCUUCAGGCCUGGUAUUAUAAACCACUCCUGAGAUCAGCAAGCACUAUGAACUGGCAACCAUCAGCAGAAGGUGGGGGAAGGAGGGAAAACUGCAGCAAAAACAAAGUACCCUCUAAUGUCUCAACAAAUUAUAGCUCACAGAAGCUGAACCCAAGACAAUGCUUUUCCUGGUAGUCUCCCUAUAGAAACCACAGGUAUUCUUUGUGCCUCCAAACACCUUUAAACUGCAUUCAAAAUUAGGGUUAUGAGUCUGGAAAUCUUUCUUUGCUAAUUUGUUGUACAUGAAUGCCUGCAGAAGCCUUUGAAUGGUAAAUGCCGUGGGAGGGGCAGUUUCCAUGGUAACUUUUCAGUGCACCUUUUUUCUUGCACUUCAAUUAGAUCUUCAUUGCUGAGCGGUUGUGAAUGAGAAGGUAACAGCUCAGUCUCAUCUGGAGGGCUGGAGGAGAUAUGAGAUCUGCAGCCUUCUAGAUGCAGCUAUAUUCUCAAUCCACUGAGUUGUAGUAUGCUUGUUUUGUUCUAUCUCUUCAUGGUACCCCAGCACCGCAAUGCAACACACAUGCAAUGGACCAAUUUCCUUAAUAUACCAAGCUUACCAGUUAAUAUGAACAAUAUCAAAG